ensembl:rRNA 5S_rRNA 5S ribosomal RNA
GCCAGCAGCCAUAUCACCCUGCAACUCACAACUGGCAACCCACUGAAGCUAAGCAGGUGUGAGCCUGGUCAGUACCUGGAUGGGAGACCACCUGGGAAAAACUUUGAGAUUGCUGCUGGAA